GUGGGGAAUAUUGGACAAUGGGCGAAAGCCUGAUCCAGCCAUGCCGCGUGAGUGAUGAAGGCCCUAGGGUUGUAAAGCUCUUUCACCGGUGAAGAUAAUGACGGUAACCGGAGAAGAAGCCCCGGCUAACUUCGUGCCAGCAGCCGCGGUAAUACGAAGGGGGCUAGCGUUGUUCGGAAUUACUGGGCGUAAAGCGCACGUAGGCGGACUAUUAAGUCAGGGGUGAAAUCACGGGGCUCAACCCCGGAACUGCCUUUGAUACUGGUAGUCUCGAGUCCGGAAGAGGUGAGUGGAAUUCCGAGUGUAGAGGUGAAAUUCGUAGAUAUUCGGAGGAACACCAGUGGCGAAGGCGGCUCACUGGUCCGGUACUGACGCUGAGGUGCGAAAGCGUGGGGAGCAAACAGGAUUAGAAACCCGUGUAGUCC
rnacentral:rRNA from 1 species